rnacentral:rRNA from 1 species
CCCUGCCAUUUGUACACACCGCCCGUCGCACCUACCGAUUGGAUGGUCCGAUGAGACCCUCGGACUCUGCUGCGCGUGGCCCUUGUGGUCGAGCACGGCGGGGAAAGUUGGUCAAAUCUUACCAUCUAGAGGAAGGUGAAGUCGUAACAAGGUU